AGUAAAUUAUCAGGAAAAUUUUAUUUGAAAGUGAACUAACCCUUUAAGAGUUGAGGUGCGGUCACACACCCUUGCGCGGCAAAAUUUCGCGGGCAAAAUCCAGUCACUCCAAUAGGAAUCUGCGCGUUCUAGAGUUUAGCAUGAGGAUGAAAGUUCCACACGCAGAUUUCGCUCGUUUUUACGUUCGAUUUCGCCGCGUUGGGCGACGCUGCUUGGUUUGAAAGAGAGUUCUUUGUGAGCUGUGCCUUAUCGAUUUCUAACAAUGGACCUUUUUUGCCUGCGAAAUGUCGCUAAUGCGACCGCAUUUUGAAUGUGACAUCGUAACUCCUUUAGACGCUAUUAGUAAAGUGAGCGCCAAAUGAAUGGGCCUCAGACAACAGGAAAAGGCAGCAGUAGACUGAAGAUCAGAGGUAAUGCUAUAGGAUAGAAAGCGAGACAGUGGGAGGUAAAUUAAGCCUCUAAUGAACACAUCUCACUGGCAUACAGACGUGGGAGGUGUUGCCAUGGCGACCGGGAGCUGAGUGAUGCUGAUGAGGAAACGAGAGAAGCAGAACCUGAGCAAGACCUUGAGCUGAACUGCGUCUGGUAGUUCAUGACAAACUCACAUCUGAUGCAGAAGUGACUAGAUGUCUCUGGCCACGUAUUGAAAGAAAAGUCGGACAGAUUUCCAGUAUAUGUGGAAUAGAAGACCUACAUUUGUCAAAAUGAGCAAGUUAUUUGGACCCAUUUUAGAUGGAGUUUCUGCAAACUGAACUUCAUCAAAAUCAGCCUGAAGCUCCAUGACCUAAUGUUAAAUGUUUCCACUGUCUCCAUGUCGCUCACAAACGCUGAGUCACAAGGAGCAUAUUGUGACUCCUGAGAUGACAUUUUGUCAUAUAGUGUCAAUUUGACCCAGUAAAAUCUACACUUGAUUCAGUGUCCAAAUGGAAACAUCAUGUCAGCUGCCAAGCUAAACUAAACCAGACAGAUAACUACCUGAGAAAGCCUUCUAAAUUUGGCUCUUGGUGUUUGUGGAAGGAUUUUUUAUCUUUACAGCUAUUAUUCUCGCCAUUGGUUGAGUUAUUAGUUGACUCAAGAAAACAGACUGACGACAUCUAGGCUGAACAGACUAUUGGAUAAUGUUAACCAGUAGCCGAAUAUCUUCAGGAGAGAAGUAUAUCGACCCCAUCCUGGAGACCGCCGUGGCAACGCUUCAAAUAUUCAACGCCCAUCGCCAAAUUUCCAAAUUGAAUUUGCGACAACAUUCUGACCUCAGAGGAGCUGGAAAUCACAGAGACAUCAGGAUGACUACAGAUGCACCGCAUGAACCCUGGGACAGACAGGCGUCACUAAAAACAUACGCUGCAUUGAAUGGCUGUGGUGAGGAUGAAAGGCUCUUCGUUUCGCUGUGAUGUCUUUCUCCUGCAUGAAUAAGCAUAUCCCAGCAUCUCCAGACCCCCAGGGGCCUCCCGGACACUCUCCCCUGCUCUGGGCCUCCUCUCCUGGGACGUUGUUUUCCUGCCUUUCUACUGCUUUAAAUAUUAUAGCACAUCUAGGAAGGUCAAACAAAAGACAGGGCAGCACCUUUCCUCCUCAAAAUAAAGCUUCCAAUUCGAUGUUUAUUCUCCAAAUAAGCUCUAGGAUUUACUCUUUUUCAUUUUUCGAUUAGAAGUUCAAAAUGCCUUUGCAGCGGUAUGCUGUUAGUUAACAUCACACCAUGUCACACCAUUUUUUUCAACCAUAUCAGGGGCCAGUAGCCUAUAUUCAGAGAAAAUUUGUUCUUGAAUUGUGCUUGACAGAUGAACAGAUGUCAUUAUACAUGUGAAAAAUCAGUGUGCGUGUCAGAUUGUCAUCAGUGGGCGUUCUUUGACACCGGUGCUAUGUGUGUGUGUGUGUGUGUUUGGUACUGGGAAGACGGGUUCUCAGUAAGAGAGCACAACUGCUCUGUUUAGAUAAAACCUAGACACCUGCUGUCCUGCCAGGGCAUAUCGUUUACUGUACCACGCCUGACACCAUGUUUUACCUCCUCGCUUACAUCCCAGAGUCAAAUUUUAUUGCACAGAGGUCACUCAGGAGCCUUUCAGGAGUUUUCAGAAGAAGUCGCCAUGUGCUUUCCUAUUUAAUCUCAUUGCUGUCUAGGAGUGACAUUUAAGAUCUUAAAGAGAAAUCAUUUAUGAUUUUCUUACUGCUCAUAAUCCUAAUGCUCUUUCAUAACACAAGUUUAUCAAUGAUGAAAUUAGUUCAGUUCAGCUAUAAGCAGCUCUACAGAAGACAAUAGUGUCGUUAUUCACUUUGAGUCAGUUUAAUGUUGGUUCACAGCCAUCUGACAGGAGCUAGUUAUUACAGUUAAUAAAGUUUUAAAUAUGGAUAUUUUUCUUACAAAAACCCAUCGCUCCCCUUCAGAAGGCCUUUAUUAACAUCCUGGAGCCAUAUGGAUUAUUU